AGAGCCCCCUAAGAAAGAGGAGAAUCCGAGAGAGUCAUGGGGCGCUAAAGCGUGUGCUUUAGAACGCCCAUCAUUCUGGCUUUAUCAAAAUUCUGACAUAAGACAGAAUAAGGGUCAAAAGCAAUAUCAGAAGAAAAAGAUAGAUUUUUCAAUUCUUUUCAGGUCAAAAAGGCGGACUGCCGGUGGGGGCUGAGGGGGUGGGACUUCUUCUGCUUUACAACCAGAAGUUGGAACCUUAGACUUUUGACUUUCACCAAUAGGCUUAGAGUAGGAAAUAGGAAAUCCCGAUUCCAAGAAGGCAGUUGAGAAUAGAAAAAAGUCUGACUCAAGCGGAAGUGGAGCGAAAUGCUUCCCUCAUUUGUAGCACAAUACGAGGUCUGGUGCGCAUAACGGAUACCUAGAUCUGGUUGGGAAAGUACAAUCUAAUCUUGCUUAGGUUACAUUAGAAAUAAGUACUUCAACCAUUUUCUUCUUUUUUCAAAAAAGUAGGGUGCGCCACAUGGGAGGCUGCGGCUGUUAGCGAAAUCAGAGCUCUUGGGUAAGAAGGCAGGGACUUCUUUUCUGUUUUUGAUAGAGCAAGCCAGGUAUGAAAUGACUCUUAUGAUAAGGAGAAGAACUACUAGCCAGCCUAAGCUUUAUCAUUUGCUUAUUUACUUCAUUCAUUGCCGAAAGAAAGAAGAAAGAUAAGAGCUUGAAAACUAGCCUUUUUCAAAAAGAUAUGCUUGCCUACCUCUUUUCUUGCUCUAGAGCCUUCAAACUAAGAUAAAGCACUGCCUACGAAGCACUCCAAUGGCUGAACUCUCAACGGCUAGAGGAAAGACUCCUACUCCCACAAUAGGACUAGGGGCAAGAGCACUAUCCAAUUUUCCUAUAAUGUAAAUAGUGGGCAAAGCACUUUCUGGUCUAGCAAUUGCAAUUGGAAAGGCUGCAACAGGAAGAGCUUAACUUAAGACGUCUACUGGCUCGGCUGGCAUGACAUUGAAAUAAGGGGCUUAGCUUAGAAUGAACAUUGGGUUUGCUCGCUCACUCGAUGCGCUUACUACUAGAGCUAGAUGGGUUUAGCUUUUCUUCUCCAAGAGGAUCAAUGGGAAAAGGAAUUGAACUGGCUUAAAAUCUCAAAUAAAAGAGCUUAGGUCCUUUACCUUUGACCUCUCCCUCUUAUCCAUAGCUUGCUUGAAAGAAGACUGAUUUUGCUAAAGAACUAGCUUGCCCAUUGGCUGGGAGAUUAUCUAGCUAUUUAGACUAAGGGGAGAGCUGGUCUUACUGUUAGACACGGUAAACAUAGGAGAAACCUUAUCCACGUUAGGAAGAGUAGUACCGAUAGCCUUAGUACGAGUUGGACCUUUCUUAUUCUUAGUCCUCUUAUGACUCUUAUACAAGCUAGCUCUCUUAUGCGCUUGCCUCGAAUUACUGGUAAUGUUAUUUAGGCCCUUCUUACUUAGCACUGUCAGAUCAAGGGAAGGAAUGAUAAGAAUAGCCUUUGCCAACUCACUCUUAUCCUCUUAGUAGAACUGCUAGUCUUCUAAGCCUGUGUAGUUAUUUAGUUAUUAUGCUAGGUAAAAAGGGGAGCUUAAUAAAGACCAGUUUUUAACAACAGUUAGCAUGUUAGCUCGCUAGUAGUACUGAUAUAAGGACUUCUUAAACACAUAUUAGGAAACUCUAAAGUGGGAAGAGCCCCUAAGAAAGAGAACUCCCAUUCGAUGCCAGAACCGGAUGGCCUUAUGCAAUUGGAUAGACUGUCAGAGAUUUUCCUUUUACAAGAGAUGCUUGCACUUCAACUAAUUCCCCAGCUGCCCUAACCUUUUCUGUCUGAUGACUUGCUAAGAAACUAAAUUUGAGCCCUAGCUUGACGACUCCUUUGAUUUGCUUACUAAGCCCUAGCUUACUAGAAAGAAAAUUGACUUCGAUGGAUCAUGUGCUUGGGCGGGAAAGAGAAAUUCGGACACAAGACAGACCAGUCUAUCUUUGUUUGAAUGCUGUAUUUCCAACAGAUCCAUCCCUCAGCUCCCUAGGGGAAGAAGGGACCCAUGAGCACUCAGAAGAUGUUCUCACACUCCAAAAGGAUUGAUAUUUAAGAAAAGUAGACUGAACCCAUCUAUUCAAAAUAGAAUCAGGGUCAUUACAUAAGAUAUGCCAAAUAUGCUUCAACACAGAUGCUUUGUUCCAUUCAUGAACUCUCUUAAUGCCAAAACCACCUUCCCUAGUAGGACAAGAGACCUGGUCCCAAGCAAGGCU
rnacentral:lncRNA from 1 species